GUUACAGCAGCCGCGGUAAUACGUAGGCAGCGAGCGUUGUUCGGAAUUACUGGGCGUAAAGAGUGUGUAGGUGGUGCUCUAAGUUUGGUGUGAAAUCUCCCGGCUCAACCGGGAGGGUGCAUCGAAAACUGGAGUGCUAGAGGAUGGGAGAGGCAAGCGGAAUUCCUGGUGUAGCGGUGAAAUGCGUAGAUAUCAGGAGGAACACCUGUGGUGUAGACAGCCUACUGGACCACUUCUGACGCUGAGACACGAAAGCGUGGGUAGCAAACAGGAUUAGAAACCCUGGUAGUCC
rnacentral:rRNA from 1 species